rnacentral:tRNA from 1 species
GCCUUGCUAGCUCAAUUGGUUAGAGCGUGAGACUCUUAAUCUCAAGGCUGGGGGUUCGAGUCCCCCGCAGGGCU